AUGGCGGCGGUGGAUCUGUCGAAGCUGCUCAAGGAGAAGCGGUUCUGGGCAGCCUCCUUCCUCAUCGCGUGGGCGGCGGGGCUCCAGGGGCACAUGAUGUGGUUGAAGCGGCAGGACGCCUUCAAGGACAAAUUCGGCGACCCCGAAGGCGAAGCCCCCAACAAGGUCACGGAGCAGCCGGCCGACGACAGCACCAGCCUCGCAGGCGAGCUCACCGCCGACGCCGAGAUCAGAUAG
rnacentral:rRNA from 1 species